UAGAGUUUGAUCCUGGCUCAGAUUGAACGCUGGCGGCAUGCCUUACACAUGCAAGUCGGACGGCAGCGCGGGCUUCGGCCUGGCGGCGAGUGGCGAACGGGUGAGUAAUACAUCGGAACGUGUCCUGGAGUGGGGGAUAGCCCGGCGAAAGCCGGAUUAAUACCGCAUACGCUCUGCGGAGGAAAGCGGGGGACCUUCGGGCCUCGCGCUCAAGGGGCGGCCGAUGGCAGAUUAGCUAGUUGGUGGGGUAAAGGCCUACCAAGGCGACGAUCUGUAGCUGGUCUGAGAGGACGACCAGCCACACUGGGACUGAGACACGGCCCAGACUCCUACGGGAGGCAGCAGUGGGGAAUUUUGGACAAUGGGGGCAACCCUGAUCCAGCAAUGCCGCGUGUGUGAAGAAGGCCUUCGGGUUGUAAAGCACUUUUGUCCGGAAAGAAAGCGUCCUGGCUAAUACCCGGGGCGGAUGACGGUACCGGAAGAAUAAGCACCGGCUAACUACGUGCCAGCAGCCGCGGUAAUACGUAGGGUGCGAGCGUUAAUCGGAAUUACUGGGCGUAAAGCGUGCGCAGGCGGUUCGCUAAGACCGAUGUGAAAUCCCCGGGCUUAACCUGGGAACUGCAUUGGUGACUGGCGGGCUAGAGUAUGGCAGAGGGAGGUAGAAUUCCACGUGUAGCAGUGAAAUGCGUAGAGAUGUGGAGGAAUACCGAUGGCG
rnacentral:rRNA from 1 species